UACGAAGGGGGCUAGCGUUGCUCGGAUUGACUGGGCGUAAAGGGCGCGUAGGCGGUUCGUACAGUCAGACGUGAAAUUCCUGGGCUCAACCUGGGGGCUGCGUUUGAUACGUGCGGACUUGAGUGCGGAAGAGGGUCGUGGAAUUCCCAGUGUAGAGGUGAAAUUCGUAGAUAUUGGGAAGAACACCGGUGGCGAAGGCGGCGACCUGGUCCGAUACUGACGCUGAGGCGCGAAAGCGUGGGGAGCAAACAG
rnacentral:rRNA from 1 species